rnacentral:tRNA from 1 species
GGGGACGUGGUGUAGGGGUUAUCACGCUUCAUUUGCAUUGAAGAGGUCACGAGUUCAAUUCUCGUCGUCUCCA